GACGAACGCUGGCGGCGUGCUUAACACAUGCAAGUCGAACGAUGAAGCCGGAGCUUGCUCCGGUGGAUUAGUGGCGAACGGGUGAGUAACACGUGAGCAAUCUGCCCUUGACUCUGGGAUAACUGCGGGAGACUGUAGCUAAUACCGGAUACGACACCUUGGGGCAUCCCAGGGUGUGGAAAGAAUUUCGGUCAAGGAUGAGCUCGCGGCCUAUCAGCUAGUUGGUGAGGUAAUGGCUCACCAAGGCGACGACGGGUAGCCGGCCUGAGAGGGUGACCGGCCACACUGGAACUGAGACACGGUCCAGACUCCUACGGGAGGCAGCAGUGGGGAAUAUUGCACAAUGGGCGAAAGCCUGAUGCAGCAACGCCGCGUGAGGGGUGAAGGCCUUCGGGUUGUAAACCUCUUUUAGCAGGGAAGAAGCGAAAGUGACGGUACCUGCAGAAAAAGCACCGGCUAACUACGUGCCAGCAGCCGCGGUAA
rnacentral:rRNA from 1 species